rnacentral:rRNA from 1 species
AGAACGAACGCUGGCGGCAUGCCUAAUACAUGCAAGUCGAACGAACACUUCGGUGUUAGUGGCGCACGGGUGCGUAACGCGUGGGAAUCUGCCCUUGGGUUCGGAAUAACAGUUGGAAACGACUGCUAAUACCGGAUGAUGACGAAAGUCCAAAGAUUUAUCGCCCAGGGAUGAGCCCGCGUAGGAUUAGCUAGUUGGUGAGGUAAAGGCUCACCAAGGCGACGAUCCUUAGCUGGUCUGAGAGGAUGAUCAGCCACACUGGGACUGAGACACGGCCCAGACUCCUACGGGAGGCAGCAGUAGGGAAUAUUGGACAAUGGGCGCAAGCCUGAUCCAGCAAUGCCGCGUGAGUGAUGAAGGCCUUAGGGUUGUAAAGCUCUUUUACCCGAGAUGAUAAUGACAGUAUCGGAGAAUAAGCCCGGCUAACUCCGUGCCAGCAGCCGC